UAUAAAGGAAUAAAGUCGGGUAUGCAUACCCGUUUGCAUGUACUUUACGAAUAAGGAUCGGCUAACUCCGUGCCAGCAGCCGCGGUAAUACGGAGGAUCCGAGCGUUAUCCGGAUUUAUUGGGUUUAAAGGGAGCGUAGAUGGAUGUUUAAGUCAGUUGUGAAAGUUUGCGGCUCAACCGUAAAAUUGCAGUUGAUACUGGAUAUCUUGAGUGCAGUUGAGGCAGGCGGAAUUCGUGGUGUAGCGGUGAAAUGCUUAGAUAUCACGAAGAACUCCGAUUGCGAAGGCAGCCUGCUAAGCUGCAACUGACAUUGAGGCUCGAAAGUGUGGGUAUCAAACAGGAUUAGAUACCCUGGUAGUCCACACGGUAAACGAAGAAGACUCGCUGUUUGCGAUAUACUGCAAGCGGCCA
rnacentral:rRNA from 1 species